CAAUCGCGCCAUGAUGGAUCGGUGAACUUCAGCAGAAAUUGGACAGAAUAUAAAGAGGGAUUUGGUUCUGUUUUUAAUGAACAUUGGAUAGGUAAUGAUGUCAUCCACUAAUUGACUAAAAGCAACGACACCCGUAUCUAUUUCUCCGUUACCCUAACCAACGGCUCCAUUUUAUACCAAGAAUAUGACCGAUUUUCUAUCUCGGAUGAGUCGGAUGGCUAUCGCCUAUUUCUCAGCAAACCAUCAACUGGGAGUCUUGGAGACAGACUUGUUGAUACCGGUAGUAGUUCUGACAAUGUGGUGGGCAUGAAUUUUUCUACAAUCGGUCUUCACUCAUGUGCAAGUGGUUACGGAGCCGGAGGAGGGUGGUGGUAUAACAGCUGUCAUGACGCCUAUCUGAACGGUCCGUACAAAUCAACCGCAUGGAAUCAACCCUGGGAUCCACCCAUACAAAGCGGAAGCAAAGUUUCCCGCACUAAAAUGAUGAUUCGUAAAUGCUGAAACGUUAAAGUGUUCUGCGAAACCAAAUUCCAUCAAACGAACACGAAGCAACAACAAAGAGACACGAUUGCAGAGUUCUUAUUUUGUUGGUUUUUUUUUUUUUGGUUGUUUUUUUUUUCAUUGUUCUUUUUUCACUUACUGAUACUUAUUGAUCUUUACUUGACGUAGAUAUUACAAGUAACUAAUUGAUACAAUUUCCUUGGGAUUUCUAUACCUAUAUUAUAUUUUUCAGUUCAAACAAAUUCACUGUAAACAUAUAUCGUGUACUGCUAUUGUACAUAAAUAAUUGCGUGUGGCAUCGUGGACGUAAUCAAGAUACAUGUCCUGCGUAUAGUCAGUUUUUAAAUUGAGAUAAGCUAUUGACCAACAAGUUGAUGGUACAGGGGUUUUGACAGUCUCCAUUGAAGUCAGCAUUUCGCAAAUUCUAUGGUCGUUAAUACAACCUAUCAUUGGGUAAAAUGCUGGCUGGCGUGUUUCAUACCGAUUACUAAUCCGUUCUUGGCACACUGAUUUUGACUGCCGAUGACUCUGUUUACCUGAUCAGGAUAUAGGGCCCACGGCGGGUGUGACCGGUCGAAAGGGGAUGCUUACUCCUCCUAGGCAGCUGAUCCCACAUCUGGUGUGUCCAGGGGUCCGUGUUUGGCCAACUAUCUAUUUUGUAUUGCUCGUAGGAGUUAUGAAAUUGAUCACUGUUUGUUAUAUUCACCUCUCAUUUAGAGGGUUCACAAUGGGAAUGAGCGAUCAACAAGGGAUGUUUACUCCUCCUAGGCUCCCGACCUCAUACCUACUGUGUCCAUAGAUCCUGUUUUUGUUUCUCUGUUCUCGACUUCUCUUUCUUUGUAGGAUUCAUAACAUUCACCAUUUUCAAACAAUUGAAUUAAAAGGCAAAUUGACGGAAACGUCAUACUGCAAAAUAAAAUAUUGAAAUAGUAUUCAUAAAAGGUCAUUAUAGUAAAAUUUUAUUGAGUUUGGUUCUAUUUAUUUACGCCAAUUCCAGAAUUGUUCACUCACUGUUAUGGGCGUGUGGGUUAAAUCAUUUUAAAGUUCAUAAUGUCAUAAUUUAAUGUGAUCAGGAAAACGAUCUCUUACA